AUUUUACAUUACAAAACCAAACAAAAUAGUUAGUGUGGCUCCUCAAGAAGCUCUCGGCCAAGACGACUCCUAUACCAGUGAAAAAUGAAUUUGUUGAAUAUUGUUGGAACGGCCGGUGCGACUUUUAGCUAACUUAGCGGAAUAUCGAGGUUUAGCAGACGGUCGGGUGCAGGACGGUCAGCGCACAAGUUAGAGUUCCUGCAGCCUCUUUUCUUAUUUUUGGAAGUGAUUUUGAGCUAUUAAGAUAAUUUGAACAAGUUAGAGCUUUGAAGUCUAAGUAAAAGCCCAAGAAAUUAAGGCGGAAUCACGUUCGGGGAUCGAGGACUAAGUUUGGAUGUCAAAAAGUGAGGAAAAAAUAUUACUCUAAGAAAAUUGCACUACCGCGCCGCGCCAUGCGUAACGGGGCGCUAGAGCAAAAUUCUUGCAGAGUGUAAAAAUCAACUCUCUGAACUUUUCCACAGGCACACUGUGUGGGGCGGCGCGCCAUGCGCCGCGCAUGUGCAAUUUUUACAAAGUAUUUCUCCUAGUUCACCUUGAAAAGGAUAGUUUCGUCCAGACUCAUUCUUACAUGAUAUAAAUACACCAAAAAUACGAAAUUUAGAGAACUCUUGAAUUUGGAAGCUUUGGGAGAGCAUUGGAGGCAACAAGACACGGGAUUUCAUCAUCUUUCCAUCAAUUCAAUACAAGAAUUUGGAUUGUAACAUUAGAUUGAUACUUUCUUAUUCUUUAAUUAUAUUUGUGAUUAUUUCCUCCAUGAUUAUGGAGUAGUUUCCUAUAGGGUUUGACGGAUUUGGUAUGUUGAUAAAUAUUUGUGGAUUUCGACUCUAGUUCAUGCUUGAAUUCGUUUA